UGGGGAAUAUUGCACAAUGGGCGCAAGCCUGAUGCAGCCAUGCCGCGUGUAUGAAGAAGGCCUUCGGGUUGUAAAGUACUUUCAGCGGGAGGAAGGUGUUGUGGUUAAUAACCGCAGCAAUUGACGUUACCCGCAGAAGAAGCACCGGCUAACUCCGUGCCAGGCAGCCGCGGUAAUACGGAAGGGUGCAAGCGUUAAAUCGGAAUUACUGGGCGUAAAGCGCACGCAGGCGGUCUGUCAAGUCGGAUGUGAAAUCCCCGGGCUCAACCUGGGAACCGCGUUCGAAACUGGCAGGCUAGAGUCUUGUAGAGGGGGUAGAAUUCCAGGUGUAGCGGUGAAAUUGCGUAGAGAUCUGGAGGAAUACCGGUGGCGAAAGGCGGCCCCCUGGACAAAGACUGACGCUCAGGUGCGAAAGCGUGGGAGCAAACA
rnacentral:rRNA from 1 species